GGGGUAAUGGCUCACCAAGGCGACGAUGCGUAGCCGACCUGAGAGGGUGAUCGGCCACAUUG
rnacentral:rRNA from 1 species